ensembl:rRNA 5S_rRNA 5S ribosomal RNA
GUCUAUGUUCAUAUCAACUUCAACAUGUCCGAUCUCGUCUCAUCUCAGAAGCUAAGCAGAGUCGGGCCUGGUUAGUACUUAGAUGGGAGGAAAUAAAUUGCUUUGAUC